CCUACGGGCGGCAGCAGUGAGGAAUAUUGGUCAAUGGACGAGAGUCUGAACCAGCCAAGUAGCGUGAAGGAUGACUGCCCUAUGGGUUGUAAACUUCUUUUAUAUGGGAAUAAAAUGUUCCACGUGUGGGAUUUUGUAUGUACCAUAUGAAUAAGGAUCGGCUACCUCCGUGCCAGCAGCCGCGGUAAUACGGAGGAUCCGAGCGUUAUCCGGAUUUAUUGGGUUUAAAGGGAGCGUAGGUGGAUUGUUAAGUCAGUUGUGAAAGUUUGCGGCUCAACCGUAAAAUUGCAGUUGAAACUGGCAGUCUUGAGUACAGUAGAGGUGGGCGGAAUUCGGGGUGUAGCGGUGAAAUGCUUAGAUAUCACGAAGAAGUCCGAUUGCGAAGGCAGUUCACUGGACUGCAACUGACACUGAGGCUCGAAAGUGUGGGUAUCAAACAGGAUUAGAUACCCCGGUAGUC
rnacentral:rRNA from 1 species